ensembl:lncRNA
GGUGAACAUUUGCGGAGCAUUGGUUCUGGGAGACAUGGUGCUGUGUGGGCAAACUUUGCCCUAAUGAAUCUGGACGUGCCAAGCAGAGCCCAGCACCAACCCUGCCUUGUGUGUGUCAUUAACCAUCCCACUUGGACUUGGUGCUGGGAGAAGCCAGACGACAACAGGAGGAACUUCAGAGGAAUUCUUCUCGAGGCUGCCAGGUGAGCACUGCAGUGCUCAGCGCUGUGCCAGGUGCUCCCGAGGGGAGACUGUGCUACGCAGGGAGAGCCAGGCUGGUGAGUGCUGAGCACCUGACAUCUCCUGCAAAAGUGCCAAGCAGAAGUGAGAUUUCACUCUUGACAGGUGCUGAAGUGUCUGACUGUCACCUUGUUUUCAAGAUUCCGGGGAGCCGAGCUGGUUUCACAGAGCCUGCCUGAAGGUUCAGGUGCAAAUUUCUGCAGACAUUCGUGUGACGCAGCAACAAAAGCAUCCCUUUUAAAGUCACUCUGUGGAGGCAGGGCGUAAAAAUGCAGAAUUCUGAAGCUGAUAAUACGUUCAUCAAUGCACAGCUCGAGAAGGUUGUCCAGAUGUAUUCUCGUGCAUGAACUCUGGGAUUUAACCUCAACAGGGAAAACAGAACUUCGCGUAUUCAUGCCAUCCAUUACAAUUUCCUUCCAUUACCUGGACAGCCCCAUCUGUCUGUGGAAAGGACUCUUAUAUGCAAAUACAAGUCUUCAGCUGUAAGGAGAGCUGGUUGCUUGAGCACCUCUUCUCCCCAUGCACAGGGCAGCCUGCCAUGCCCUGCAGCAAGAAAAACAGUUCUCACUGACACCACUGUGCAUUCCUCUGGCUCACAGUGCUACUCACACCACGGCAGGACUUGUCCCUUUACUGGACACCUCUCUCAGACACAGAGUUUGGGUUUGCGUGGUGUUUCGUGGAGCCGGGGGUUGGACUCAAUGAUUCCCGUGGGUCCCUUCCAACUUGGGAUAUUCUUUGGUUCUAUGAUUCUGACAGCUAACAGCUGAUCGCCAGCUGAAGAUUGCUUCUUCCAAACUGCAUGUUCCUCUCUCCUGCUAGACAGGCUGUCUGGAGAGGGUGACACAGUGACCAGCAGCACUGGAUCUCUCACUUGCCCAUGGCACCUGCCCAAAUGAAUUAAUCAGCAUCACACAGAGGCUGCCUUGGGGGAGGCACCUCUGUGCGCCCUGCCAGGAUCACUGGGACUUCAGACAAAGAGGGUGUUUGGGUUACUUGUCAGUGCCAAAUCAGUUCAUGAUCCGUCUCUCAGUACCAGUAAGCAUCUGGAAGAAUUGGUUGGCAGCCAUGGGGAUGGUGUUUUCUGGCAAUGUCUGACAGCCUGGCAAGGGCAGGGAAAGCUCUGUGCAAUGAAAAGAGAAGACACAUCAGGUCGAAGGCCAAGUCUGUGCCAAGGAACAUUGUCUUUGGAGCUUGCUGUAACCACGCCUGCCUGGCCUCUUGCUGCCCAGUAGCAGGAGCCCAACAACCAACACAUCCCUGCUCCAAAGGGGGGAAAGAGAUGCUCCAUUCCACCUCACUUCCCUGCACAGAAGCUCUGCAAGAAAAGCACAUAUGGAGCAAGAAAGGGGCAGGAACGUUGCAUGUUCCUAAUCUGUAUCUUUUUAUUACUGUUAUCUUAUCAGCCCCAGAGCUCACAGAUAACUGUACCCAACAGCCUGCAGCCACAACAGACCAGCUGAGUUACAGGCAAUGCUCUGCUAGUUGAGGAACCAACCCAGGAAGGAAAACACAAGACUUCUACCGAAGCCAAGGCACUCAUUGCACGCCAUCAGACAGGAGGGUGUCUAAGAAUCUCAUGAAUGGUCUGAAUCACCAUUAUUCUUUGAAGUCUACCAGUAUUCUACAGGAAUGGUUACCUUGUGUUUGAGCAACUGGGCGAGCAUCUGGAGCCCAACUUCCACCUCUGCUCUGUCCACAUCUGUUUGCCCUGUCCGUCAAAGGUAGCAGUAUUUCCUUGGCCUGCCUAGUUUUUUUUUGGCUGUUGAUUAGAAGCAAAUGGGAUUCUUCAGAGAAGAAACUGUUAUUGCUGAAAAACAUCUCGUUGUCAAAUAGGAUUUCUGAGAUCCAGGAUGGUGUCUUUGUUAGGGUGUGGAAGGAAUUAAUCACUCCGGAAUAACCCAGUGCUUAAGGCGUUUGCAAAAUCCGAGACACAUCAGAUUCAAGCAACAGCUGAGCCUCAUUUACAUCAGGAACUGGAAUUUGAUCUCCCACAUGCCUGGUGAACAUCCUAACCACAAGCCUAUCCUGGAAGGAACUUGUGUGAGCCCAGAAAAUAUUUCCAGAUAUCUCAGUUAUAAUAUAUAUAUAAAAACAAUCAUUAAUUGUUUUGGGGCUUCUUAUUUUCCCAAAAAAAAAAACUCUUAUUUACUGUCCCAUUCCUAAAUGGAUUCUUCCUUGCCGUACAGCUCGAGGCACAGUGUUAUCCCUUCAGUCUAGCAAUGACCCAGUGCCAAGGAUGAAGAAGGAGUGUGAUGUGCUGAC